CGAAGGGGGCGAGCGUUGUUCGGAUUUACUGGGCGUAAAGGGCGCGCAGGCGGCUUUUCAAGUCAGGCGUGAAAGCCCCGGGCUUAACCUGGGAACUGCGUCUGGGACUGAAGGGCUAGAGUUCGGGAGAGGAGAGUGGAAUUCCCAGUGUAGAGGUGAAAUUCGUAGAUAUUGGGAAGAACACCGGUGGCGAAGGCGGCUCUCUGGACCGAGACUGACGCUGAGGCGCGAAAGCGUGGGGAGCAAACAGGAUUAGAUACCCUGGUAGUCCACGCUGUAAACGAUGUGUGCUAGACGUUGGGGAGCCUAGCUCUUCGGUGUCGCAGCUAACGCGGUAAGCACACCGCCUGGGGAGUACGGCCGCAAGGUUA
rnacentral:rRNA from 1 species